UACGGAGGAUCCGAGCGUUAUCCGGAUUUAUUGGGUUUAAAGGGUGCGUAGGCGGCUUGUUAAGUCAGGGGUGAAAGACGGUAGCUCAACUAUCGCAGUGCCCUUGAUACUGAUGAGCUUGAAUGUACUAGAGGUAGGCGGAAUGUGACAAGUAGCGGUGAAAUGCUUAGAUAUGACAUAGAACACCUAUUGCGAAGGCAGCUUACUACGCAUAUAUUGACGCUGAGGCACGAAAGCGUGGGGAUCAAACAGG
rnacentral:rRNA from 1 species